rnacentral:rRNA from 1 species
ACUCCUACGGGAGGCAGCAGUAGGGAAUCUUCCACAAUGGACGAAAGUCUGAUGGAGCAACGCCGCGUUGAGCGAUGAAGGCCUCCGGGUCGUAAAGCUCUGUUGUUAGGGAAGAACAAGUACCGGAGUAACUGCCGGUACCUUGACGGUACCUAACCAGAAAGCCACGGCUAACUACGUGCCAGCAGCCGCGGUAAU